rnacentral:rRNA from 1 species
UAACUGAAGAGUUUGAUCAUGGCUCAGAUUGAACGCUGGCGGCAGGCUUAACACAUGCAAGUCGAGCGGAGAGAGGUAGCUUGCUACUGAUCUUAGCGGCGGACGGGU